rnacentral:ncRNA from 1 species
AUCUUCCUUAGGGUUGUGAGUAUAUAGUGCUCACACACAGUGAGCACAUAGUAAGGGCAGAACUGCUAAUGCCUACACAACACACCCACAUCAACUAGAGCUUUGCUUUACCGUGGUGCAAUUUUUGGAAAA